rnacentral:lncRNA from 1 species
GCUGAGUGUGUCCGUCUGUGCCCUGCCAGAGCACACAUCAUACCAUGUGGAUCACGCUGAUUGAGCGCCUGCGGUGACCUGUGUGGUCCUUGGAUAGAGGAUUAUUGGACCAUGGCGACUGCACAUUCUCCCCAAGACAGACAACUGAUAACAGACCUUAGAAUAGCCAUAAAAUGCCACAUCCCGACAAAUGCGCACCCAGGAAUCGCUUAAUCCUGAAAGUCUUAUAAGAAGAUCUGGUGAGAGGCAGAGUCAAGUACACACCACAAGGGGAGAGAGGAAGAGAAGAGGCUUGACAUCUUUUUUUUUUUCUUUUUGAGACAAAGUUUCGCUCUUGUUGCGCAGGCUGGAGUGCAAUGGCGCCAUCUCGGCUCACUGCAACCUCUGCCUCUGAGGUUCAAGUGAUUCUCUGGCUUCAGCCUUCCCAGUAACUGGGAUUACUGGCAUCUGCCACCAUACCCAGUUAAUUUUUGUAUUUUUAGUAGAGACGGGGUUUCACCAUGUUAACCAGCCUGUUCUCGAACUCCUGACUACUAUUUCUGCUGUUACCUGUCAGUCCUCUUCAUUGCGGCACAAACAAGGUUAAUUUUUUUUUGUAAAACUGAUGUGGGCCAGGUGCAGUGGCUCAUGCCUGUAAUCCCAGCACUUUGGGAGGCCGAGGCGGGUGGAUCACGAGGUCACGAGUUCAAGACCAGCCUGGCCAAUAUGGUGAAACCCCAUCUCUACUAAAAAUACAAAAAUUAGCAGGGUGUGGUGACACUGCAUCUGAUCUCAUCAUAAAUUUGAUGUUUCUUUUUGUUUCAAUUUUAGCAGAAUUUAUUUUACUUUGAUAGAGUCUCUUUUCAAACUUAUGUCUUAUCCUUCUGAGUGCCUUCAACUACAGCCUGUUCAGACAUGUUAUAACAGACUUGUACCAGUUUAAUUUGGUGCAAAAACUGUGAAAUUCAUGCACAAUUUUCUCAUAAUAUGUAUUUUUCCAUGAACUUCAUCAAGAUCCCUUGUACUAGAAAACUGUAUUCAAGAGGAUGUAAAAAGGAUUGUAGAUAUUCAAGUGCCACUUAUUUCUGGGAUGCAAGGAUGGUUCAACAUAUUCAAGCAAAUCAAUGUGAUAUGCCACUUGAACAGAAUGAAAGAUGAAAACCACAUCAUCUUAAUAGAGGGAGAAAAAGCAUUUCACAAAAUUCAAAAUCCAGUCAUCAUAGAAAUCCUAAACAAAAUAGAUAGAAAGGAAAUUUACCUAAACAAUAGAAAGACCAUCCAUGAAAUGACCAAUGAGUGAAUAAUCAAGUAGGGAAAAUGGAAUGCCUUUCCUGGAGGAUCUCACAUGAUGCAAGAGUGCUCUCACCCCUUCUAUUCAAUCAAUACUGGCUGUCCUAGCUAGAGCAAUUAAAUAGCAGAAGAAAUCAAACUCAUCGAAAUCAGAAAGAAAGAAGUAAAAUUAUAUUUGUUUGUAGACGACAUGAUCUUCUGUGCAGAAAAUCACAAAGAGUCAACCAAAAUACUACUGGAACUAAGUAACA